AGUGAACGCUGGCGGUAGGCCUAACACAUGCAAGUCGAACGGCAGCACAGUAAGAGCUUGCUCUUACGGGUGGCGAGUGGCGGACGGGUGAGGAAUACAUCGGAAUCUACUUUUUCGUGGGGGAUAACGUAGGGAAACUUACGCUAAUACCGCAUACGACCUACGGGUGAAAGCAGGGGAUCUUCGGACCUUGCGCGAUUGAAUGAGCCGAUGUCGGAUUAGCUAGUUGGCGGGGUAAAGGCCCACCAAGGCGACGAUCCGUAGCUGGUCUGAGAGGAUGGUCAGCCACACUGGAGCUGGGACACGGUCCAGACUCCUACGGGAGGCAGCAGUGGGGAAUAUUGGACAAUGGGCGCAAGCCUGAUCCAGCCAUACCGCGUGGGUGAAGAAGGCCUUCGGGUUGUAAAGCCCUUUUGUUGGGAAAGAAAAGCAGCAGGUUAAUACCCCGCUGUUCUGACGGUACCCAAAGAAUAAGCACCGGCUAACUUCGUG
rnacentral:rRNA from 1 species